UAUUGCUAUUACUGAAAUUGCCCAUCGCCCUAAAUACAUUAUUAGGCAGCAUUGAUUGAAGAACUCAGUACUUGAAUCUGCAUUAGAUAUGAAUGUAUAUACAUUAGUUGACACACUAAGCACUUUUUUUGGUACCUCACCAAAUAAGCUGUAAAGGGGGAAGAUAGCUUUGUACUCAAAAUUAAAGACCAGAAUACCUUAUUUAUGAGUAAGUUCACUUGUUCUCUGUACAUCUCUUUCAAAUCAACAAUAUCUGCAUGCAGUUCUUUCAACUAUGUACAACCAAUCUAUUUUAGCAUGUCAGAAUUGGAUUGAUGCAAUUAAAAUUUUCUGCUUUACAUUCUAUAAUGUACUGAUACUAAUAAACAGUGAUCUUUAAGGCAUAAAAAUAAAUUGAGAAUUAUAAAAUUUAAAAAGAAUACAUGACUGAGCGAUGUCUAUUAAACUUAGAGCUCGUUUGGUAGGGAUUUUGAAAAGACAAAAGUAGCUUGAGACUAAGAAGCUGCUUUUGGGAUAUGUUUGAACAAUUUUCUGAAAGUACUUAUAUAGGUUAGAAAAGCUUUUAGAAUAAGCUGGCCCGAGGUGGAAGCUUUUUACAAAAAGUGGAAGCACUGUCAAAAAAGCCCUUACUUCCAUGCUGGAACAAAACUCAGACAACAAAUAGCCCUUACUUCCAUGCUGGAAUACUGAUGAUUAACCCUGGGGAAAAUUAUUUUCAUAGUUCCUAAAUCUACAAAUUUUGGAGGAAUGUUCACCAUCUGUAAAGAUAUACUAGAAAAAUUUAACAAUGCAUUUUCAUCACGUUCACCCGUCAACUCCAAUGCUACUGAAUGUCUCUUUCUUAGAGCUUCUAUGAUGUGAUCCGGUAUUCGCCGCAAACGACCGAAGAAUUGAUGAUUAUUGGAGGGCUGCCAAGACCAAGAAUUAAGCUUCAAUUGAGGGGAAUUCGAGCCAAAUUAAUCAAUCAAUUUCAUAACCAAGCCAUGGAAUUCGAGAGGUUGAAGUUUACAAUCCAAAGUCCAAGAUUGUUAAUU
rnacentral:lncRNA from 1 species